GACGAACGCUGGCGGCGUGCUUAACACAUGCAAGUCGAACGAGACGAUUGAAAGCUUGCUUUCGAAAGUCGAGUGGCAAACGGGUGAGUAACGCGUAGACAACCUGCCUUUGAGAUGGGGACAACAGUUCGAAAGGACUGCUAAUACCGAAUGUUGUAUAUUUUCCACAUGGAAGAUAUAUUAAAGAUGGCCUCUAUUUAUAAGCUAUCGCUCAAAGAUGGGUCUGCGUCUGAUUAGCUAGUUGGUGGGGUAACGGCCUACCAAGGCGACGAUCAGUAGCCGGGCUGAGAGGAUGAACGGCCACAUUGGGACUGAGACACGGCCCAGACCCCUACGGGAGGCAGCAGUGGGGAAUCUUCCACAAUGGACGAAAGUCUGAUGGAGCAACGCCGCGUGAGUGAAGAAGGGUUUCGGCUCGUAAAGCUCUGUUGUCGGGGACGAAUGUGCAUUACUUGAAUAAAGUAGUGUAAUGACGGUACCUGACGAGGAAGCCACGGCUAACUACGUGCCAGCCGCCGCGGUAA
rnacentral:rRNA from 1 species